AUUGAACGCUGGCGGCAGGCUUAACACAUGCAAGUCGAGCGGAGAGAGGUAGCUUGCUACUGAUCUUAGCGGCGGACGGGUGAGUAAUGCUUAGGAAUCUGCCUAUUAGUGGGGGACAACAUCUCGAAAGGGAUGCUAAUACCGCAUACGUCCUACGGGAGAAAGCAGGGGAUCUUCGGACCUUGCGCUAAUAGAUGAGCCUAAGUCGGAUUAGCUAGUUGGUGGGGUAAAGGCCUACCAAGGCGACGAUCUGUAGCGGGUCUGAGAGGAUGAUCCGCCACACUGGGACUGAGACACGGCCCAGACUCCUACGGGAGGUAGCAGUGGGGAAUAUUGGACAAUGGGCGGAAGCCUGAUCCAGCCAUGCCGCGUGUGUGAAGAAGGCCUUAUGGUUGUAAAGCACUUUAAGCGAGGAGGAGGCUACUUUAGUUAAUACCUAGAGAUAGUGGACGUUACUCGCAGAAUAAGCACCGGCUAACUCUGUGCCAGCAGCCGCAGUAACAC
rnacentral:rRNA from 1 species